rnacentral:lncRNA from 1 species
UGGGUACCAAGAGUUGCGUAUAAUGUGUCACAAAUGUAAUGGUAAGAUACAUGACACGUGAGGUCCGAUAUUCAUUAAUCCACCAAUGCAUUGGUGAUACAUUCGAUGCCUAGGUGGUAGGGCAACAUUUAGUAACCGAAUGCGAUCACCAUAUUAUUUCUUUUGUUUUAGUUGCUUAUGUUCACCCGUGUGUGGUCCUCUUUUUCCUCAAUAGUUUUUGUCUUCUGGUCUUAAUGCACUCUCAACAGCAUGAUACAUAAUCUUGAAAUUUGUAAUUCGCAAGUUUUACUGUAUCAUGCGAUUGCGAGUGUAUUGGAAAAGAGAAUAUCUAGCCAUUUUGUCAUAUUACUGUUGAGCCCCA